UGAAGCAGGGGCCCCGCAUGGGGAUAUUUGCUAAAGAUUCAUCGCUGAUAGAUAGGCAUGCGUUCCAUUAGGCAGUUGGCGGGGUAACGGCCCACCAAACCGACGAUGGAUAGGGGUUCUGAGAGGAAGGUCCCCCACAUUGGUACUGAGACACGGACCAAACUCCUACGGGAGGCAGCAGUGAGGAAUAUUGGUCAAUGGGCGUAAGCCUGAACCAGCCAAGUCGCGUGAGGGAUGAAGGUUCUAUGGAUCGUAAACCUCUUUUAUAAGGGAAUAAAGUGCGGGACGUGUCCCGUUUUGUAUGUACCUUAUGAAUAAGGAUCGGCUAACUCCGUGCCAGCAGCCGCGGUAAUACGGAGGAUCCGAGCGUUAUCCGGAUUUAUUGGGUUUAAAGGGUGCGUAGGCGGCCUUUUAAGUCAGCGGUGAAAGUCUGUGGCUCAACCAUAGAAUUGCCGUUGAAACUGGGGGGCUUGAGUAUGUUUGAGGCAGGCGGAAUGCGUGGUGUAGCGGUGAAAUGCUUAGAUAUCACGCAGAACCCCGAUUGCGAAGGCAGCCUGCCAAGCCAUGACUGACGCUGAUGCACGAAAGCGUGGGGAUCAAACAGGAUUAGAUACCCUGGUAGUCCACGCAGUAAACGAUGAUCACUAGCUGUUUGCGAUACACUGUAAGCGGCACAGCGAAAGCGUUAAGUGAUCCACCUGGGGAGUACGCCGGCAACGGUGAAACUCAAAGGAAUUGACGGGGGCCCGCACAAGCGGAGGAACAUGUGGUUUAAUUCGAUGAUACGCGAGGAACCUUACCCGGGUUUGAACGCAUUCGGACCGAGGUGGAAACACCUUUUCUAGCAAUAGCCGUUUGCGAGGUGCUGCAUGGUUGUCGUCAGCUCGUGCCGUGAGGUGUCGGCUUAAGUGCCAUAACGAGCGCAACCCUUGCCACUAGUUACUAACAGGUGAUGCUGAGGACUCUGGUGGGACUGCCAGCGUAAGCUGCGAGGAAGGCGGGGAUGACGUCAAAUCAGCACGGCCCUUACAUCCGGGGCGACACACGUGUUACAAUGGCGUGGACAAAGGGAUGCCACCUGGCGACAGGGAGCGAAUCCCCAAACCACGUCUCAGUUCGGAUCGGGAGUCUGCAACCCGACUCCGUGAAGCUGGAUUCGCUAGUAAUCGCGCAUCAGCCAUGGCGCGGUGAAUACGUUCCCGGGCCUUGUA
rnacentral:rRNA from 1 species